rnacentral:rRNA from 1 species
CCCAGACUCCUACGGGAGGCAGCAGUGGGGAAUAUUGGACAAUGGGGGGAACCCUGAUCCAGCGACGCCGCGUGAGUGAAGAAGUAUUUCGGUAUGUAAAGCUCUCUCAGCAGGGAAGAAAGAAAUGACGGUACCUGACUAAGAAGCCCCGGCUAACUACGUGCCAGCAGCCGCGGUAAUACGUAGGGGGCAAGCGUUAUCCGGAUUUACUGGGUGUAAAGGGGGCGCAGACGGCAGCGCAAGCCAGGAGUGAAAGCCCGGGGCCCAACCCCGGGACUGCUCUUGGAACUGCGCGGCUGGAGUGCAGGAGGGGCAGGCGGAAUUCCUGGUGUAGCGGUGAAAUGCGUAGAUAUCAGGAGGAACACCGGUGGCGAAGGCGGCCUGCUGGACUGCGACUGACGUUGAGGCCCGAAAGCGUGGGGAGCAAACAGGAUUAGAUACCCCAGUA